CAUUGUGUCUCUCCAUAUCCCAUUUUCUUCUCUAGGAACCAUGUCUACCAAAUCCACCAUCAGGAUUCAAACCAGCCACUGUGGCUUCAGUGCUAGCUCAGCCAGAGUACCUGGGCUCAACCGCUCUGGCUUCAGCAGUGUGUCCGUGUGCCGCUCCCGGGGCAGGGUGGCUCCAGUGCAAUGUGUGGAGGAGCUGGCUUUGGCAGCAGGAGCCUCUAUGGUGUGGGGAGCUCCAAGAGGAUCUCCAUCGGAGGGGGCAGCUGUGGCAUUGGAGGAGGCUAUGGCAGCCGAUUUGGAGGAGCCUAUGGCAGCCGAUUUGGAGGAAGCUUCGGCAUUGGAGGUGGAGCUGGUAGUGGCUUUGGCUUCGGUGGUGGAGCUGGCUUUGGUGGUGGCUAUGGGGGAGCUGGCUUCCCGGUGUGCCCACCUGGAGGCAUCCAAGAGGUCACCAUCAACCAGAACCUCCUCACCCCUCUGAACGUGCAAAUCGACCCCACCAUCCAGUGGGUCAGGACUGAGGAGAGGGAGCAGAUCAAGACCCUCAACAACAAGUUUGCCUCCUUCAUCGACAAGGUGCAGUUCCUGGAGCAGCAGAACAAGGUCCUGGACACCAAGUGGGCUCUGCUGCAGGAGCAGGGCACCAAGAACCAGAGGCCUGACUUGGAGACUCUGUUUGAGCAGUACAUCAGCAACCUCCGCAGACGACUGGACAGUAUCACUGGAGAGAGGGGUCACCUGGAUUCUGAGCUGAGAAAGAUGCAGGACACAGCGGAGGACUACAAAGGCAAAUAUGAAGAUGAAAUCAACAAGCGCACAGCAGCAGAGAAUGAAUUUGUAACCGUGAAAAAGGAUGUAGAUGCUGCCUACAUGACCAAGGUUGAACUGCAAGCCAAGGCAGAUAGUGUUGCAGACGAGAUCAACUUCCUGAGAGUUAUUUUUGAGGCAGAACUGUCUCAGGUACAAACUGUCGUCUCAGACACAACUGUGGUCCUCUCCAUGGACAACAACCGUAGCCUGGACUUGGACAGCAUCAUUGCCGAGGUCAAGGCCAAGUAUGAGGACAUUGUUCAGAGAAGUCGUGCAGAAGCUGAGACUUUGUACCAGACUAAAGUGAGUGUUGGGAUGCAGGGCAAUAAGGAUGCCUGGGAACCACUCUAAACUCCAUGAGUCUCUGAGUUCAGUCAUGGAGACCCCUUAAAGAGAAGCUGGGGUGUUCUCACAGCAAAUGUAUUAUGUCCUUGUGUUAUGGACAGAUGUUUUAUUCUAAGAGAACAAGACCCUAGAGGCAGAUGCAAAGUUAACAUAAAUGGUGUCCAGGGCUCUUUUUUCUUAUACUCUGACCACGGAUCCUCAUGAGACACUAGAAAACGAUUUCACUUCCUGAGGGAACAAAGGAUUCUGUGGUCUACAGCUUGUCUUGCAGAAAAGCCAUCACAUCCAUGGAAGUGUGUGCCACUUAGCGGUGGAUUUGCUUCUGCAUGUAACAACUCACAUAAAUUUUCUCUCUUUGUUUGGCCUUCAGUAUGAGGAGCUACAGGUCACAGCUGGCAGACAUGGGGACAACCUGCGCAACACCAAGCAGGAGAUCGCUGAGAUCAACCGCAUUAUCAGGAGGCUGAAAGCUGAGAUUGACAGUGUUAAGAAGCAGCUUUCCAAACUGCAAGCCGAAAUUGAUGAUGCUGAGAGACGUGGGGAGAUGGCCCUGAACGAUGCCAGGGGCAAGAUGGAAGGGAUGGAGGAUGCCCUGCAGAAGGUCAAACAGGACACGGCCAGGAUGCUGAAUGAAUACCAGGAGCUCAUGAAUGCCAAGCUGGGCCUUGAUGUGGAAAUCGCUGCCUAUAGGGCAAUUCUGGAAGGAGAGGAGUACAGGUGCGUAAGUACAACCUCCAGCCCCUGAGGACAGCUCCAUGGUGCCAGCACUGAGCACAAGAAGAGGGAGCAGUGGCUGUGCUCACCAUGGUUACUUCAAGAAACUCCUUCCUGUGCUGGAGAGAUGGCUCAGUGUUUAGUUCUUCUAGAGUUACUGACUUCAAUUCUCAGAAGCCAUAUGAUGGCUCACUACCGUCUCUACUUGGAUCAAGUUCCCUCUUCAUGGGUGUCUAAAAACAGGUAGAGUGAACCCAAAUACAUAGAAUAAAUACAGGAGUAUUAAAAAAUAGAUUUCUUUCCAGAAGAUUCUGGACCUUCAACAGAUUGAGGGUUCCCAUUGGGACUGAGGUGAUGGCUGCCUAGUUCUCACUUGCUGCUUUCCUCUCUUAGGUUCAGUGGAGAAGGUGCUGGACCAGUCAACACCUCUGUGAAGCAGCAGUCCACCGUGUCCAGAGCCUAUGGCAGCACAGGUGGUGCCAGCAGCAGCUUAGGCCCGGGCAGGGGCAGCAGCCAUUCCUAUGCCAGUGUCCAUGGUAGGUAUGGCUUCAGUGCUGGAAGUGGCAGAGUCAUCAGAGGUGGCCUCAACUCCUCUGUUGGCAAUCCUUCCACCAUCAGUUCCAACCACCAGAGCUUGUUGUGGACCCCAAAUAGCCUGGCUGUAAUGCCCUGUGUACAGGGGCAUCUCCUCCCUGCAUCUCCUCCUUUGCUAUCUGCUUGGGUGUGAGGAGGCUGUGUCCACUUGCUCCUCUUGGGAUCUCACUGCUCAUGUUUUGAGUCAUCCUCUGAGCUCACAUCACGAUUCACACACAUUUUGUGCUUCAUGCUGUAAUUGGGUUUCUAGGCUCCGGCCUUCCUUCCUCUAUCUCUGGGGUUCUUGUGAAAGGUUGUCUUUGUCUUCUUCAUUCUGGAAAUCAUUGUCUUGUUCUUACUCAAGAAAUGCACACGUCCCUUUGAGUUUCCAGCGGCCUGAGAAACCCCAUCUUUCAACACCGGAAAAUUCCCUGUACAGUCACUGGUCCUGUGAUGUCUUUGCUCAUGUGAUGUUACCUCUGCUCUUUGCUCCCUUGUAAUUGCUAAAUAAAGCAGGUUUAUAAA